UUCAGACUCCUGUAAAAAAAUAGUGGUAUUACGCCUGAGGCAAAAUAUUUCGUUCAAAAGCAGUUGUUUCCCCUUCAAUAUGUUUCCGGUUUCGGAUUUUAUCAGGGAAGCGUGUGAAGUUUACUUUUGUUUAUCUACCUUUUGUUCAACGAUGGAGGGAUCUGAGACUUGUAAUACUGUUUAGUGAUUUGAUAAUAUUCCUUGUUCCUUUGAUGGUUCAUUCCACUACAGCUGGUUCAUAUACCCUACAACAGCAAGGAAAUUGGUCUGUUUACUUUAAGAUCUCAAGAAAAUGUACCAUAUUUUGGAUGUGCUUUGAGGAAUCAGGAAGGCAAGUGUUUCCUCUUGUUUAUGAAAGCAACUCAGUUGGUUAAGGGGCAGACAACUUGUGAGCAUGGUACAUCACUACCUGUAUUGGUAUUCCAUUUUGACAAUGCUGCUAGCUAGAAUAGAAAUAACAUCUUGCUGUGGUAUGGUCUGUGGAGAGUUUUACUAGGAUAUCACAGAUCGAUUGAAUAUUCAACAAUGAUCACAGACCAUGCAAAGUUUGAAUCUGACUUGCACUUUUAAAUUUAGAAGAAUCUGUGGAGGAGGGUGAAUGCUGAGACCUUUAAUAAUACAUGAUAUUGCUGACACAGUGUGUCAGUUAUCAAAGAAAUGUCAUAACAACACAGUUGGUCAACAAAGAUUUAAAUCCUGUCACAUUCUACCAGUGGAGAAAUAUCUUAUCACAAUAUUUUAAACUUUUGAAGAAGAUAACCAAGUAUUACCACUUUAUCAUGUCUGCAGAAACACCUGGAUUGUAAGUCUUAAAAGUGACAGUUCAGUUAACUUACUAAAAUUUACUCCCCCUUGCCAAACGAAUAUUA